CUUUACUACUGCUUGGUGAAACUGGCAGCACUGGAUAAUAGUUGGCAUAAUGUCGGGUAUAGAAAACCGAUAAUAGUUUAUGAGGUUGUUGUUAAGUUAUGGUGUUGGGGAAUCGAAUCAUCGUGGAUGUAAAUACUAAAAUCUUUGAAGCUGAUUGCAAUGUAAUCUGCUGUCGAGAGGUAUUCAAUCAUUCCGGUUAAGAUUGCCCCAACAAACUUCAAAGAUUUUAAGAUCUUUAUUGAGUACACUAAGGAGCUUGCUAUAGAGUGUACACAACGAAGCAUUAUGCUAUUGGAAGAACGAAGUAAAUUAUGGAAGGCAGAAUACGAACUGCGGGAGAAACAGAUAGAAGAAGAGUACGAGCGGGAGUUGAUGGAAAUUGAGGAGGCAUACAAAAA